rnacentral:rRNA from 1 species
UGUAGCUAAUACCGUAUAUUCCAGUAAUGGGAAAGAUUUAUCGCUAUAAGAUUGGCCCGCGCAAGAUUAGCUUGUUGGUGAGGUAAAAGCUCACCAAGGCUUCGAUCUUUAGCUGGUUUGAGAGGAUGAUCAGCCACACUGGGACUGAGACACGGCCCAGACUCCUACGGGAGGCAGCAGUAGGGAAUAUUGGACAAUGGGGGCAACCCUGAUCCAGCAAUGCAGCGUGAGUGACGAAGGCCUUAGGGUUGUAAAACUCUUUCAUCGGUGAGGAUAAUGACAGUAGCCGAAGAAGAAGGACCGGCUAAUUCCGUGCCAGCAGCCGCGGUAAUACGGAAGGUCCUAGCGUUGUUCGGAAUUACUGGGCGUAAAGCGCAUGUAGGCGGAACAGAAAGUUAGAAGUGAAAUCCCUGGGCUCAACCUAGGAAUUGCUUUUAAAACUUCUGUUCUGGAAUUCAGGAGAGGAAAAUGGAAUUUCCAGUGUAGAGGUGAAAUUCGUAGAUAUUGGAAGGAACACCAGUGGCGAAGGCGAUUUUCUGGACUGAUAUUGACGCUGAGAUGCGAAGGCAUGGGUAGCAAACGGGAUUAGAUACCCCGGUAGUCCAUGCAGUAAACGAUGGGUGCUAGUCGUCGGACUUAUGUUCGGUGUCGUAGCUAACGCGUUAAGCACCCCGCCUGGGGAGUACGGUCGCAAGAUUAAAACUCAAAUAAAUUGACGGGGACCCGCACAAGCAGUGGAGCAUGUGGUUUAAUUCGACGCAACGCGAAGAACCUUACCAGCUUUUGACAUUGCUAAGUCGCGAGUCUUAGAGAUAAGACUCUUCAGUUCGGCUGGACUUAGUACAGGUGCUGCAUGGCUGUCGUCAGCUCGUGUCGUGAGAU